rnacentral:lncRNA from 1 species
UAUUACCACAGUGCUCGUUGCUGAACUAUUUGACGUAAUGUUAGCAGCUUUUUGAUUUCAGUCACUAAGGAAAUUUCACAGCUGAAAAAGUUAGUUUGGUUUUCCACUAAUGAAAGAAAUACCUAAAUUACUCGGGCUUCAGCAUUACAGAAUCACAGAAUCACGGAAUGGUUGAGGUUGGAAGGGACCUCUGGAGAUCAUCAUCAUCAUUAGUUCUCGCAUCUCAUAACCCUGCAAAGCUAUCUAUAAAAGAAUAAAUAUCACACAGUAGGUCGAAAGGCUUGCAUCUCUGGAACAGCUGUAAGUAGCCCAACCCUAUUGACUGAAAUUUCUGCAACAGAAUUCCUAGAAACGUUCAUUCUUUAAUUGUUGCCUUUAAAUAUGAGAAGUUGCGUAUUACGACUAUGGAAAUUCACUCUGUAAAUAUAGCUGCAGUUGUCAUAAA